rnacentral:rRNA from 1 species
UACGGAGGGUGCGAGCGUUGUCCGGAAUCAUUGGGCGUAAAGGGCGCGUAGGUGGCCCGGUCAGUCAGUGGUGAAAGCGCGGGGCUCAACUCCGCGUCGGCCAUUGAUACUGCGGGGCUCGAGCACUGUAGAGGCAGGCGGAAUUCCGGGUGUAGCGGUGGAAUGCGUAGAGAUCCGGAGGAACACCGGUGGCGAAGGCGGCGUCCUGGACCAACACUGACACUGAGGAGCGAAAGCCAGGGGAGCAAACGGG